GGAGGUUGUGCACCUUCCCUGCCCAGUCCCUGCUGAUGCAUUUAACGUGACACAGGUGGCAGAUACAGCAAAUAUCCCUUGGAAAAAGCCUCGCUGGCUGAUGAGGAGCAGCUGGGUGGGUUUGGAGCGCUGCCUGUCCCUUUCUCUCCCUCUCCCUCUCCCCCUGAAGUUGUUUUGUGCUGCAGCACGGCGAUAAUGGAGCUCGUUCCAGGCUGAUGUUUGCUGGGGGCCACGUGGAGCAGCAUCCAAAUCCAAAUUCACAGAGAUUAAGGCAUUGGGACAGAGGAAAAGCUAAAACAAGCAUCCUUCAGCUGUUCCUGUGUAGAGAGCAAGCUCUGCCCUUCAGGAAGAAGGAAAGCUGCACACGAGUGCUCUGGGUGUGGAGCCCCUGCCUUGCUGCCUGUGACCUCCCAGCUCCACGGGGUGAGCAGGCAGGGAUGCCUGGAGCAGCAGGAGGACGUGUCACUUGGGAGGAUGCCACUCCUCUCAGGUGUCUCUGCUGGAGCACU
rnacentral:lncRNA from 12 species